CCUACGGGUGGCUGCAGUGGGGAAUUUUGGACAAUGGGCGCAAGCCUGAUCCAGCCAUGCCGCGUGUCUGAAGAAGGCCUUCGGGUUGUAAAGGACUUUUGUCAGGGAGCAAAUCCUGGUGGCUAAUAUCCAUCGGGGAUGAGAGUACCUGAAGAAUAAGCACCGGCUAACUACGUGCCAGCAGCCGCGGUAAUACGUAGGGUGCAAGCGUUAAUCGGAAUUACUGGGCGUAAAGCGUGCGCAGGCGGACUUUUAAGCCAGAUGUGAAAGCCCCG
rnacentral:rRNA from 1 species